rnacentral:lncRNA from 1 species
GGGCGGGGCCGACAGGGAGGUGACAAGGGCGUGGCUUACGCCAGGUGGGCGGGGUUUGCUCGGGUGGGCGGGAUCAGCCGGAAGGCGCGGGGAGCGCGGGGCGGGGCCGAGAGCUGCCGGUGGGUGUGGCCUGGGGAGGGGGCGGGGCACGAGGCCAGGGCGGGACGGGCGGUGCCCCAGGGCGGGUCUGUCAUGAGGGGCGGCUGGUGCCGCCCUGGGACCCCGCCGCCUCUGCCCGACUCUGUCCAGGGGCGCCCCAAUGCUUGCCCCGCCGCCUGGUCCUUCGCGGCACUCAUGCAUCGCGAUCCCCAGAGGUGUUUUGGAACCCGAGAAUGAGCCUCUCGGUCAGUACUAAGGGCUGGAGACUAAUCACAAGUCUGUGUUCACCACAAAAAACUGUCUUCUGUUUCUCGAGGCUCUGCUCUUUAUCCCUUUGCGAGGCUGGGAAGGAGCUGAAAUUCCAGAGCUGCUUCUGUAGCACUGAUGAGAACAGGGGUCUUGGAAGGACUGAGGUUUGGCGGCUGUGGAGCCUCUUGGAAACGCUACACAGUGUUGUGUCUGUUCCCUGUAUUUGGAAGGAAAUCUAAUUGUGACUGGAAGUCUCACCCAAAUACAACCAUUUUUGAUGGCAUAAUUUUCCCUGGAUUCAGCUAUACAGAAUGUUGGGAAUCUGUAGCCAGAAAACGAACAAUGCACCAAUGUGGGAAACCAGCCUAGUUUUGGCCACAAUAGCUCUGUGCCUUCGAUACCGUCAUUCUGUGAACACCCACCUGUUUUUUCCAGAGCAGCACAACUGGUCUAUAUGGAACAUACCGGGAAGCCAAGUGGGCGAUUGCCUGUGCUGUUUAUUUUUAUGGCAGUUGGCAGCACUGGAAAAUUCUCAACACACACAGAUUGCAGGAUGGACGGCAGAGAUUGGGAUGGAUGAACAAGGAUUAGCCCUCACAAUGGUACAGGAUGGGCCAUAUCUCCAGAAAACAAGCCCUGCUGAAAAAAAACUCUCCAGAUAAUGAUGGAAAGCUGAAACCAGGUAAAAGGAACCAAUAGCGAUAUUAAAAUUUAAUUGAAUUGAAAAUUCCU